rnacentral:rRNA from 1 species
UGCCAGCAGCCGCGGUAAGACGUAGGGUGCAAGCGUUGUCCGGAUUUAUUGGGUUUAAAGGGUGCGUAGGCGGAAGCUUAAGUCUUGGGUGAAAUCCCACCGCUCAACGGUGGAACUGCCUGAGAAACUGGGUUUCUUGAGUAUAGUUGAGGUAGCUGGAAUUGGUGGUGUAGCGGUGAAAUGCAUAGAUACCACCAGGAACACCUAUUGCGAAGGCAAGUUACUAAGCUAUAACUGACGCUGAGGCACGAAAGCGUGGGGAGCGAACAGGAUUAGAUA